GAAGAAACAAGUAGAGGAGAAGAAACAGAUUAUUACUGAAGAUUAUGAGAAACUUAAACUCAAAGUAGCUUAUUUGGAGGAACAAUAUCUCAAGGAGAAACAGAUCAUUAUUGACGACAAUCAAAAUCUCAUUUCUGAGAAAGACAAAGUUAUAGCCAAACUGACAUUGAAUGAGAAACAGAUCAUUACUGACCUUAAAGAAAAGGAGUUGUACAU